rnacentral:tRNA from 1 species
GCUUUUGUGGUUUAAUGCUAGUACACUCGGCGCGUAUUCGAGAGGUCCAGGUUCGAGUCCCGGCGAGGGCG